rnacentral:lncRNA from 1 species
AUGCUGGUUGCCCAUCUGAAUUGCUUGGGGAGUUUAUCAAGGACCUAUUUAGAGUUCCCCAUCUUGGAUAUCCUGAUUAAGAAGUCUGAUGUGGGGCCCAACAAUCUUCAGUUCAAAGAAAUUCAAGUGAUUCUGAAGUACAGCCAGCUUCAAGAACCGCUGCUCUGGGCCAGUUUUGUCCUCCACUCCAGGAGAACAUCUGUGACUCCCCACGGAAACAUCAGUGCCAUGAGGUUCCCAAGGUCAUUCAUCCCACUAGUGAGCAACUCCAGGCUACGAUAUGCUUUCUUCAUCUCUACGGCCUGUGGCUACCUGCCUUGGAAGUCCAGAGAGAGGCCAGGCAUGACCCAGAACUUGAAGCUGAGUGAGCAGCAGCCUCCUGGGCUUCGUCAUUUGAAAAAACCUAUUUGAGGUGGUAUCCCUCCCCGCUCAACAACACAAGAAGUCUAGAAGAUUAAUGGCAUGGAAACAAGAUGGAGACUGGAAUGAGAGGCAAGGUGCAUGAAGAAAGCUAGAGCAGGAAAUCAAAACAAACACACUGGGCCUUCUGCACACAGAAUCCUCACUCAAGAAGAUAGUGUAAAUUCAGGAGCUAUCAGCUGUAGACAUUUAUAGUCACAUGAACACCAUUUAAAGUUGUGAUGAAAGGUCACCAGAGGAAUAAGAACAGAAACAUAACACUGGGAAGAGAUCAUUUUAUGCCCUACUCUGUAAUUAGUGGUUUUUAAACUUGUCAAUGCAUUACUUAUAUAAUAAAAACAAAUUAGUUUAAAAAUGUAUGUUUAAAAAACAAAACUCUGAAUCCCUAUAAUUCUGAAUAUACAAUGAACCUUUAUAAACAUGCCCAUUGUUAUCUCAAAGGAAGAGUAUUGGAUGCAACCUGUGCGUCCAUAACAGAGAACAUUUACAUCAGUUGUGAUAUAUCGGCUCCAUUAUGUUGUUAUUAAAUGAUGGCCUCACUGAAAACUAAUAUAGAAAUAUAAAAAUGUUAAGAAAUGUCAAAGAUAUAUGUAUGUUUUAUAAAAUUAUUCCCAUUUGAAAAGAUUUUCCUAAUGACAGGAGUACCUGUAUCAGACUAUUUGGCUUAUAGAUAAUACAUAAUUCAUAUUUUUAACCAUUUUCCUAUUUUCUAUAUGGUUACUUUUAUGAUUAAAAAGCAGUUUCCAUUAAAAAGAAUAAGUCAGUAUUUUUUUUAGACAGCCCAACGAUGUCAAGGCACACAGCUCUGGUAAUUCUUGUUUAGAGGAGGGCCCUCUGUCUCUU